rfam:Mariniradius saccharolyticus AK6 contig36, whole genome shotgun sequence.
AAGCAAGUAGAGAAGGGCGCACGGGGGAUGCCUGGGCUCCACGGGGCGAAGAAGGACGUGCCAAGCUGCGAAAAUCCGCGGGGACCCGCAAGGGGGAUCGAUCCGCGGGUGUCCGAAUGGGGCAACCCAUCCCGCGAGGGAUAUCCCGGCUGAUGCCGGGAGGCGAACCCGCCGAACUGAAACAUCUAAGUAGGCGGAGGAAGAGAAAACAACAGUGAUUCCGUGAGUAGCGGCGAGCGGAAGCGGAACAGCCCAAACCCGGGCGGUCAAGGCCGUCCGGGGGUAGUAGGACCCGCGUGGUCCCGCGCGAAUGCGACCCGAAGCGCCUGGGAAGGCGCGCCGCAGGGGGUGAUAGUCCCGUAGGGGAAGCAUGGACGCGGGCGCGGGUAUCCUGAGUAGGCCGGGACGGGAGGAAUCCCGGCUGAAUCCGCCGGCACCAUCCGGCAAGGCUAAAUACUGCGUGGAGACCGAUAGUGUACCAGUACCGUGAGGGAAAGGUGAAAAGUACCGUGAACAACGGGGUGAAACAGAACCUGAAACCGUGCGCCUACAAGCGGUCGGAGUCCCUUAGGGGAUGACGGCGUGCCUUUUGCAUAAUGAGCCUACGAGUUGCUCCUCGCCGGCGAGGUUAAUUCCGUUGACGGAAGGAGCCGGAGCGAAAGCGAGUCCGAAGAGGGCGUCGAGUCGGCGGGGGCAGACGCGAAACUUUGUGAUCUACCCAUGGGCAGGCUGAUGCUGCGGUAACGCGCAGCGGAGGGCCGAACCGAUAAGCGUUGAAAAGCUUCCGGAUGACCUGUGGGUAGGGGUGAAAGGCCAAUCAAACUGAGAAAUAGCUCGUACUCCCCGAAAUGCCUUUGGGGGCAGCGUCGGCGUUGGGGCCGCGGAGGUAGAGCUACCGAUAGGACUAGGGGGAGUCGCAUCCUACCAAAUCCUGACGAACUCCGAAUGCCGCGGCCUUUUGCCGGCAGUGAGGGCCGGGGUGCUAAGGUCCCGGUCCGAGAGGGAAAGAACCCGGACCCGCCGCUAAGGCCCCUAAAUCCGCGCUAAGUUGGGCAAAGGCGGUCCAGCUGCAGAGACAGCCAGGAGGUUAGCUUGGAAGCAGCUAUUCCUUUGAAGAGUGCGUAACAGCUCACUGGUCGAGCGGCAGGGCGCCGAUGAUAAACGGGCAUCAAGCGCGGUGCCGAAGCGAGGGACUGCACUUGUGCAGUGGUAGGGGAGCAUUCCAAACCGCGGCGAAUGCGCAUGGCGAUGUGCGCUGGAGCGUUUGGAAAAGCAAAUGUAGGCAUGAGUAACGACAAGGCCGGCGCGAAACCGGCCCACCGAUAGACCAAGGUUUCCUGAUCAACGCUAAUCGGAUCAGGGUCAGUCGGGGCCUAAGGCGCACCCGUCUAGGGGAGGCCGAUGGACAACUGGUCAACAUUCCAGUACACCGCGCGCGAUGGAAGCGACGCGUCCGUGUACCCGGUGCGCACUGACGGAAUAGUGCGUUGAACCGCGCGGAAGCGCGGGAUAGUACGCGGGGGCCACGGCCGAAGCGACAAUCCGGGGAGGCGGGCGCCAAGAAAAGCGAGCGCGCGGUCCCGUACCGCAGACCGACACAGGUGGUCAAGGAGAGUAUCCUGAGGUGCUCGGGUGAAUCAUGGCCAAGGAACUCGGCAAAAUUGCCCUGUAACUUCGGGAGAAGGGGCGCCCCCUGCGAGGGGGGCCGCAGUGAAGAGGCCCAGGCGACUGUUUAGCAAAAACACAUGGCUUUGCGAACCCGGAAGGGGAAGUAUAAGGCCUGACACCUGCCCGGUGCCGGAAGGUUAAGAGGGGAUGUCACCGCAAGGGAAGCAUUGAAUCGAAGCCCCGGUAAACGGCGGCCGUAACUAUAACGGUCCUAAGGUAGCGAAAUUCCUUGUCGGGUAAGUUCCGACCUGCACGAAUGGUGUAACGAUCUGGGCGCUGUCUCGGCCAUGAGCCCGGUGAAAUUGUAGUCACGGUGAAGAUGCCGUGUACCCGCAACGGGACGGAAAGACCCCAUGAACCUUUACUGCAGCUUAGCGUUGGUGCCGGGCGGACGGUGUGUAGGAUAGGCGGGAGGCCGUGAACGAGAGUCGCCAGGCUUUCGGGAGCCGCUGUUGAAAUACCGCCCUCCGUCCGUCUGGCCCCUAACCCCCCGAGUGGGGGGACACCGCUUGGCGGGUAGUUUGACUGGGGUGGUCGCCUCCAAAAGGAUAACGGAGGCUUCCAAAGGUACCCUCAGCACGCUUGGUAACCGUGCGCGGAGUGCAAUGGCAUAAGGGUGCUUGACUGUGGGGCCGACAAGCCGAGCAGGGUGGAAACACGGGCAUAGUGAUCCGGCGGUACCGCAUGGAAGGGCCGUCGCUCAAAGGAUAAAAGGUACUCUGGGGAUAACAGGCUGAUCUCCCCCAAGAGCUCAUAUCGACGGGGAGGUUUGGCACCUCGAUGUCGGCUCGUCACAUCCUGGGGCUGGAGAAGGUCCCAAGGGUUCGGCUGUUCGCCGAUUAAAGUGGCACGCGAGCUGGGUUCAGAACGUCGUGAGACAGUUCGGUCCCUAUCUGUUGCGGGCGUGGGAAGUUUGGGGAGCUCCGACCUUAGUACGAGAGGACCGGGUCGGACCGACCGCUGGUGUGCCGGCUGUGGUGCCAACCGCACCGCCGGGUAGCCACGUCGGGAAGGGAUAAGCGCUGAAAGCAUCUAAGUGCGAAACCCCCUCCGAGAUGGGACUUCCACAGAGGGCCGUCGGAGACGACGACGUCGAUAGGCCGCAGGUGUAAAGCCAGCGAUGGCAAAGCCGAGCGGUACUAAUAGCCCGAAAGCUUGCGUCC